rnacentral:rRNA from 1 species
GUGCCCUUCACUACGGAAUAGCCCAUGGAAACGUGGAUUAAUACCGUAUACGCCCUUCGGGGGAAAGAAUUUCGGUGAAGGAUCGGCCCGCGUCUGAUUAGGUAGUUGGUGGGGUAAUGGCCUACCAAGCCGACGAUCAGUAGCUGGUUUUAGAGGAUGAUCAGCCACACUGGGACUGAGACACGGCCCAGACUCCUACGGGAGGCAGCAGUGGGGAAUCUUAGACAAUGGGGGCAACCCUGAUCUAGCCAUGCCGCGUGAGUGAUGAAGGUCUUAGGAUCGUAAAGCUCUUUCGCCUGUGAUGAUAAUGACAGUAGCAGGUAAAGAAACCCCGGCUAACUCCGUGCCAG